CAAUGGUGUAGAUUAAAAAUUACACCACUCCAGACCCUUUUGUUUUCCACAUAAUUAAUAUUGCCAAUAAUUAACAAGUUCCGGGUCGAAUCCGAUACCGAUACCAAUAGUAUAUUCACCUGUUAGCUAUUACCUUAUCUGUACGUUCCGCAUUUGACAGGCGCACCACCAAACGGUAUAUUUAGGAUUUUGCUAUAUACACGGGUCAUAAUCAAAGGGCUGACACUGCUAAAUUCUAUCAUUGUCAAAUUGUUCCCUAUUGUAGUUUUAUUCAGCAAUCAGCAAGACUUUCUAAGAUAACUAAUAUAGGACAAUGCUGUUGAUUCCGAUACCAAUAGUAUAUUCACCUGUUAGCUAUUACCUUAUCUGUACGUUCCGCAUUUGACAGGCGCACCACCAAACGGUGUAUUUAGGAUUUUGCUAUAUACACGGGUCAUAAUCAAAGGGCUGACACUACUAAAU
rnacentral:lncRNA from 1 species